GUGGGGGGGGGGGGGAGGGGGGCGGGUCUCUCUGAGCCAAUAUGAUUGGUGUCCUUGUACAGAGGACAAACUUGGACACAGACACAUGUCUGCAGACAGAGAUGGGGGUGAAGCUUCUGCAAGCCAAGGGACACCAAAGAUUGCCAGGAAACCACCAGAGGCUGGGAGAGAGGUAUGGACCGGAUGUCCCUCGCGGCCACCGAGGGAGCCAGCCUGCUCUCAAAUCUGCAUCAAGUUUUGCUUUCAAUGGCUCUUCCCAGUGAAAGUACACAACAGCCGUUUUUCAAGAGGCUGCCAGGGAGUGUCAUUCGAUGUCGCCGAGGAACCCCCCCACACAGAUCUCAUGAGACAGCGCACCCAGGCAGAGUGGGCCACGGUGGGCCUCCUCACUGCGGCCAGAAACCUCAAAAUUGAAAAUUCCCAGUACUUCUUCAGAUUCAAACGGAUUUAAUCAUUUCACAGUUGCCCAGUGACCACAUUGCUAUUCACUGUGGUAAUGUGCCUCAUUCAGUGUUUGAACCCGAAUCUGCUCGUGAAGAUACAAGACGGAGGCUUUUUUUCUUUUUUCUUUUAGAGAGCGAGAGAGGAAAAAAACCACAGGUGAGCAGGGGAGAGGCAGAGAGGGAGAGAGAAUCCCAAGUAGGAUCCGCACUGUCAGUGCAGAGCCCGAUGCGGGGCUCGAUCAUCCUACGACCCGGGGAUCAUGAUCUGAGCCCAAACCAGGAGUCAGAUGGUCAACCAACUGAGCCACUCAGGUGCCCCCAAAAUGGAGGUUUUCUGCCUUAGGGCCACCCAGUUGAAAUCAUACAGUUUUCAUUCCUUAUGUAUAGUAAAAAUCUGUAUGCACUUUAUUCGGUAACCUGCGUUUGCCACAGGUUCCUGAGCCAGGGGAUACAAUGAGACCCCACAGAUAGGACUUGGGGUCAUAAACUAGUACCCCCCGGAGGUGCACAGUGCCCCAGACCAUGUCCUUCCAAAGUCCCAAUUCCCUGUUUCUAGGGGUUUCCUGGGCUGUUUCACAGGGGAUCUAGGGGGUUCCUGGGUGUCUGUUUCACAGCAGAUCUAGGGGGUUCGUGGGUGUUUCACAGCCGAUCUAGGGGGUUCCUGGGGUGUCUCACAGUGGGUCCAGAGCAGUCCUUUGUGCCCUUCCCCUGACCCUCCGCUUCGUUGUAAUCAUGUCAGUACCUGCAAUGUUAUAAAGCUCUGCCUGCAGCAGGGUCCCGGACCCUGGGAGCCUCUGUCUUUGCACAAGGCGCCAUCUCCCCACCUGUGCCGCACUCCCUGGGGCCUGGGGGCCACAACCAGGCUGAAUUCCAAGCCCAAGUGGGGUGAUAGCCCCUGUCAUCUCUACUCCAACACGAGUCCAGGCCCACCCCGGGAGCUACUUGGCAUUUAGAACAACGUCUGCAAAUAAUAAAGAGCACAUGAGAUUUAGAAUGCUUUUUCA
rnacentral:lncRNA from 1 species